CAGUCGCCGCGGUAAUGUGUAGGGUGCGAGCGUUAAUCGGAAUUACUGGGCGUAAAGCGUGCGCAGGCGGUUGUGUAAGACAGGUGUGAAAUCCCCGGGCUUAACCCGGGAACUGCGCUUGUGACUGCACAGCUAGAGUAUGGCAGAGGGGGGUGGAAUUCCACGUGUAGCAGUGAAAUGCGUAGAGAUGUGGAGGAACACCGAUGGCGAAGGCAGCCCCCUGGGCCAAUACUGACGCUCAUGCACGAAAGCGUGGGGAGCAAACAGGAUUAGAUACCCGUGUAGUCCCUGUCUCUUAUAC
rnacentral:rRNA from 1 species